UUAUAUUGCUGGUCCUCAACAAAGUAGAACAUCUGAUUUCGCUAAAGAUUUAAAAAACAUAAAAUUGAAAGAAGCGUUAAUCAAAUUUCUUAUCAAUCAUUGGGCUAACCAGAAGAUGAAAACGAUAAUUGCUUUUUACAGGCGAGGAAAAAAAGAACUUUCGACAUUUUAAUGGGAUCUAUAACUAUGCAAAAAGUAUUUGCAAACUUGGGUUCUACAGAUUAUGAUAUUGAAGCAUUAUCUCCUACUGUAGAAUCUUUCAUCUGGCAUCUGUACGGAUUAGAAAAGCUAUCUGAUAUCAAUAGUGCUGGAAUGGAAAUUUUUCAUAAAACGUAAAAAGUAACUGAUACGUCUCAACCCUUCUCAUUAAAUGUGCGUAAUAUGACGCUUGUAACUUACCACCCUGUCGAUCAGAGCUACAAUUUACUAUUUACAUUUACUGCGGACGAAAUAUAUAGCGUGUUUGUGGAGAAACACGCACAAUCGUAUCCUUAUGGAGUAGUCGCCAACAGAUUACGGAUGGAAAAACGUGGAUGGAAAGUUGGAGCCGACUUGGUUUGUUGGAAAUCAACUUCCUGAAGCUUACGAGGACAUCGUCAUGACAUCUGAUAUUUUAGGAGAUACUUCUGAUGCAGAAAUGCAAAAUGACGAGGAAGUUCAAGAAGUGGAAACCAACUCGACGAUGACUCGAAUGACGAAAAUUUAC